rnacentral:rRNA from 1 species
GACGAACGCUGGCGGCGUGCUUAACACAUGCAAGUCGAACGGAAAGGCCCUGCUUUUGUGGGGCGCUCGAGUGGCGAACGGGUGAGUAACACGUGAGUAACCUGCCCUUGACUUUGGGAUAACUUCAGGAAACUGGGGCUAAUACCGGAUAGGAGCUCCUGCUGCAUGGUGGGGGUUGGAAAGUUUCGGCGGUUGGGGAUGGACUCGCGGCUUAUCAGCUUGUUGGUGGGGUAGUGGCUUACCAAGGCUUUGACGGGUAGCCGGCCUGGGAGGGUGACCGGCCACAUUGGGACUGGGAUACGGACCAGACUCCAACGGGAGGCAGCAGUGGAGAAUAUUGCACAAUGGGCGGAAGCCUGAUACAGCAACGCCGCGUGCGGGAAGACGGCCUUCGGGUGGUAAACCGCUUUCGCCUGUAACGAAGCGUGAGUGACGGUAAUGGGUAAAGAAGCACCGGCUAACUACGUG